rnacentral:rRNA from 1 species
UACGUAGGGUGCGAGCGUUAAUCGGAAUUACUGGGCGUAAAGCGUGCGUAGCCGGUUGCGUAAGUCAGAUGUGAAAGCCCCGGGCUCAACCUGGGAAUUGCAUUUGAGACUGCUCUGCUAGGGUGCGGAAGAGGGAAGCGGAAUUUCCGGUGUAGCGGUGAAAUGCGUAGAUAUCGGAAGGAACACCAGUGGCGAAAGCGGCUUCCUGGUCCAGCACCGACGUUCAGGCACGAAAGCGUGGGGAGCAAACAGG